rnacentral:rRNA from 1 species
UAGGGAAUCUUCCGCAAUGGACGCAAGUCUGACGGAGCAACGCCGCGUGAGUGAAGAAGGAUUUCGGUUCGUAAAACUCUGUUGUUAGAGAAGAACAGCGCAUAGAGUAACUGUUAUGCGUGUGACGGUAUCUAACCAGAAAGCCACGGCUAACUACGUGCCAGCAGCCGCGGUAAUACGUAGGUGGCAAGCGUUGUCCGGAUUUAUUGGGCGUAAAGCGAGCGCAGGCGGUCAAUUAAGUCUGAUGUGAAAGCCCCCGGCUCAACCGGGGAGGGUCAUUGGAAACUGGUUGACUUGAGUGCAGAAGAGGAGAGUGGAAUUCCAUGUGUAGCGGUGAAAUGCGUAGAUAUAUGGAGGAACACCAGUAGCGAAGGCGACUCUAUGGUCUGUAACUGACGCUGAGGCUCGAAAGCGUGGGUAGCAAACAGG